GAUGAACGCUGGCGGCGUGCCUAAUACAUGCAAGUCGAGCGAACAGACGAGGAGCUUGCUCCUCUGACGUUAGCGGCGGACGGGUGAGUAACACGUGGAUAACCUACCUAGAAGACUGGGAUAACUUCGGGAAACCGGAGCUAAUACCGGAUAAUAUAUUGAACCGCAUGGUUCAAUAGUGAAAGACGGUUUUGCUGUCACUUAUAGAUGGAUCCGCGCCGCAUUAGCUAGUUGGUAAGGUAACGGCUUACCAAGGCAACGAUGCGUAGCCGACCUGAGAGGGUGAUCGGCCACACUGGAACUGAGACACGGUCCAGACUCCUACGGGAGGCAGCAGUAGGGAAUCUUCCGCAAUGGGCGAAAGCUUGACGGAGCAACGCCGCGUGAGUGAUGAAGGUCUUCGGAUCGUAAAACUCUGUUAUUAGGGAAGAACAAAUGUGUAAGUAACUAUGCACGUCUUGACGGUACCUAAUCAGAAAGCCACGGCUAACUACGUG
rnacentral:rRNA from 1 species